UGACAUGAAGAUGAGCAGCUCAGAGGAGGUGUCCUGGAUUUCCUGGUUCUGUGGGCUCCGUGGCAAUGAAUUCUUCUGUGAGGUGGAUGAAGACUACAUCCAGGACAAAUUCAAUCUCACUGGACUCAAUGAGCAGGUUCCUCACUAUCGACAAGCUCUAAACAUGAUCUUGGACCUGGAGCCUGAUGCAGAACUGGAAGACAACCCCAACCAGAGCGACCUGAUUGAGCAGGCAGCCGAGAUGCUUUAUGGAUUGAUCCACGCCUGCUAUAUCCUCACCAACCGUGGCAUCGCCCAGAUGUUGGAAAAGUACCAGCAGGGAGACUUUGGCUACUGUCCCCGUGUGUACGGUGAGAACCAGCCAAUGCUUCCCAUCGGCCUUUCGGACAUCCCAGGUGAGGCCAUGGUGAUGCUCUACUGCCCCGAGUGCAUGGACAUGUACACACCCAAGUCAUCGAGGCACCAUCACACGGACGGCACCUACUUCGGCACCGGUUUCCCUCACAUGCUCUUCAUGGUGCACCCCGAGUGCCGGCCCAAGCGGCCCGCCAGCCAGUUUGUGCCCAGGCUCUACGGUUUCAAGAUCCAUCCGAUGGCCUACCAGCGGCAGCUCCAAGCCGCCAGCGACUUCAAGAGCCCAGUCAAGACGAUUCGCUGAUUCCCCAUCCCACUUGUCCCUCAGUCUUUGGCACCUCCGAUCCUCUGCUGCCACCCUUUCAGGAACCCUCUAUGGUUUUUAGUUUAAAUUAAAGGGGUCAUUAUUGUGGUGGGAAUAUGAAAUAAAGUGGAAGAAAA